GGGGUAAGGUUAAUUUGGUCUUAACAUCUGUCACUCCAUUAAUUAUCAGGGUACUUUUGACUAAUUUGGAUAGCUAACCAGGAUAUUCCUUCCACUCUAUCUACUCUAAUGUGUCUCUCCUGAGCUAUGUACUCAUUUGGAGAGGGUAGUCUUUCCUCAUAGAGGAAGACAGUUAUUUAGUCAAGAAUAUAUAAAUAUCUACACUUUCUCCAAACAUCCUCUCAAGACCAAUGAGACCUUUGGUCAUCAUAGACUCAAUUCUCCACAUUGCAACUACUGU
ensembl:misc_RNA Gm24909 predicted gene, 24909